rnacentral:rRNA from 1 species
UUAGUAGGGCAUAGCCCGUAGAAAUGCGGAUUAAUACCCUAUGUUGUUCAAUGCGGACAUCUAAGUUGAACCAAAGGUUUACCGCUAAGGGGAUGGGGACUGCGUCCGAUUAGGCAGCAGGCGGGGUAACGGCCCACCUGGCCUACGAUCGGUAGGGGUUCUGAGAGGAAGGUCCCCCACAUUGGAACUGAGACACGGGUCCAAACUCCUACGGGAGGCAGCAGUGAGGAAUAUUGGUCAAUGGACGUAAGUCUGAACCAGCCAAGUAGCGUGCAGGAUGACGGCCCUAUGGGUUGUAAACUGCUUUUAUGCGGGGAUAAAGUGACGUACGUGUACGUUUUUGCAGGUACCGCAUGAAUAAGGACCGGCUAAUUCCGUGCCAGCCGCUGC